GAUUUCACCAUGUUGGCCAGGCUGGUCUCAAACUCUUGAUCUCAAGUGAUCUGUCUGUCUCGGCCUCCCAAGUGCUGGGAUUACAGGUGUGAGCCACUGUGCCCGGCCCCAGCUAGUGUUUCUGUUCUUGGUGGGCCUUGAAUUCUGCUUUUUGUCUCCUUAGCCCUACAAAAGAUCUUUGUGUUUCUUUGUCACUCUUGCAGCAACAGCAGUCACCUGUAGACUAAAAGCAGUCCUAAACAAGGUCAUUCUUUAUAACCUUGUCAAUCUUAUAUCUUUAGCAGAUGUUUGGCCCCUGAGCUGACAGUCCACUGUAGACUUGGGGUGUGGGCUUAUUCUUCACUCUGGGCCACUGAGACCCAUUUCUGAGAGAGAUCCAUGAACUGAAUCUGAAGGACAUUCAUGGGGUGUGUGCCAGAUCCCUACUGACUCCAGUAAGGCUGGCACCAUGUCUGAGAGCUGGAGCCAGCGAACGAGAUCUAGGGUUUAUUGGGAGACUUCAUACCGGGCAGCCCAGUGGCAGCAGACUAGACAGGAAGAUUGCUACCCUUUGUAAAAAGCAGAUAGUUGAUGUAGAUUUUCAUUUAGCACCCUCCACCUAGCAACCUCUAUUUAACCCAGAACAAAGCGCUCCUAGCCCCUGUACAGUCUGCAUUCCAAGGGCUGGGCCAGGGGUUUGGAUGUCCUUCACAGAUAAGGAGUGAGUCUACAAAUUGGCCACUCCUGGAUUCCCUAACUCAGAACUCUGCCAACACUCUUCUUAGACCAUACCACCAUGCUCAGGGUCAGCAUCGGUGAUGGCUGUCAGAUGCCUCUGUCAUACCCAGAGGUGGCCCACAUACCCUGGUGCUCUGUCUGUGCUGCUGGUGUUUGUGUGCAGCACCCCAGAGGAGCUUGAGGGGGGUCCUGGCGUACCUGCUGACUCACCUCCUUUUUGACCUGCUUGCGGCCCCUCUCAGGGCUUCUUUUUUUUCCAGAAAAUUUAUUAAUAAUAUAUGAAUGUUCAAAUUAAAAAAAAAUAAGUAUUUCCACCAUUUUAUCAUGUACGUUUUUGAAUGGCAUUAUAGAAUGCCAUCUCAGGAGUUCAAAGUCAGGGUGACAGUGACAGAUUCAUUUCCUAAAUGCUUGGAAGGGAAAUGCAGAGGAGAAUUCAAAGUCUUACCUUAAAGCCUUUGGAUAGCGACAUGCACACAGCAUUCCAGAGCACGGCUAGGUUCUGCCCAGGGCCCUCUGCCCCCUCCUCCGUCACUGUCCUUUGCUGUUUGCCCUUCAGCCUGAUGGGCCUAGGCACCCCUAAAAAGGUGGGUGCCUUGGCCACAGAGCACCUGCUGCAUGGCGGACCAGAAUAGCAACAUGCAUGCCAGGAAUAACUAUAAGCACGGACAGAGCAGGAAAGCGCCCUGAGUUUAUUUCAGGAGCUUGGGGGAGGAGCCAUAAAAGACUCAAAUGAGCCCUCAUCCCCAGACCAUCAAAAUCACUUUUAAAGCAUUUUCCUCCAGGGGACGGGAUUGGAUUCCAUCUUUCUUGGGUAGAAAUUCUUCUCGUGGUGGCAGUGCUGAGGCUCUUAGAAAAGGAUUUUUUAAAACAUGGUACAAAAAAGAAUCUAACCAGUGAAGUUGAUUAUUCUUAAGGAAGCUGCUUUUGAACAUGAUGUGUUUGCUAUCUGUGGUGUUAUGAUAGAUACAGGUUUUUGUCUGUGGCUCCUGGCUUGUAACUCCCGUAGCCUGUGUUAGGGUCUUUUGUUAAAACGUUGGGUGCUUUAGAAAAACAGAAUGUCUCUCGUCUUCCGACCUUCUUUCACCUGCCCUAAGACAGGACUCUAUUCCUCCUGCACCUUUCUGACUGUGGGUCUUCAGACCCUCUCCAGAGGGAGCCCUGCCCUAUGCCUUAGGGGAAGGAAUGGUGAUGGCAUGGAGCCGCCGCCAAAACCAAGAGGACUGGGUUCCGGAGCUUCCCGAGAGCUGAACACGUGGAGGUUCCUGGAGGGUGGUGCCCAGGGAGGGCAUGGACGCCCUGCGCCCCUUCCCCUGAUUUCACCCUACGAUCUCUUCAUCUGUCGUCUUUGUAGUAUCCUUUUAAUAAACUAGCAAACGUGUUUCUUACUGAGUUCUGUGAGCUGCUCCAACAAAUUAAUAGAACCCAAAGAGGGGGUUGAGGGAACUCUAACCUGAAGCUGGUUGGUCAGAAGUUCCAGAGGCCUGGACUUGCGCCUGGUGUCUGGGAGCAGGGCAGCCCUGAGGAUGUGCCCCUCUUCCCAGGUAGACAGCAUGGGAAUUGAACUGGAGGACACCCAGCUGGUGUCUGCUGCCUGGUAUGUGGGAGAAACCUCCACACUUUUGGUCACAGAAGUGUUCUGGGGUGAUGGUUACGGUGGCGUGACAGCAGAGGAAAAACACGAUUGAGUUUUUCCAAAACAGUAUCAUUGCUCAUUUCUAUUUUCCGGUAGGAAACUUAUGGUUUGGGCGUGUCCCUCCAACUGCUUGCUGGUGACCAAGGAGAAGGAACCACUUGGCUUUAUUUGAUAAUAAACAAAGCAUUAAGCCUGACCUGUUGGGUGUAGCACAAGUAGGUUAUGGAUUUCAGAUGAUGAAUUACUGAUCAAAAAUUGCAGUGAAAUCUCGAACUACAAAAUUAACUAACUGGUUAAGAUACUAAAUUUGAAAGGAGAGAUAAAUCCUUGUUUGGCUACAGGCAGCUUACAUUUUUCUCCUGGGUGAAAAGAAUAAAACAUGAAAAACCCUGAUGUGGACACAGCAUGUGGCCAACCAGGGAUCCCUUCUUCCAGGUGGUUGCUGUGCAGGUGUCCAGCUCUCACCUCACUGCUUAGGGCAAUGCAUUUUCUGCAAACGUGAGAACUCUGAUAGCAGCUGUUCCUUGGACUGGCAGGAAAUACUUACAUGCCUAACUGGUUCCGACCCAUGAACCAGCCUCUGAGGCUCCUGCUGGUCCUGGGAGGCCGACAGCAGACGGGCCUGGGCUCCUGCCUCUCCUGCAGAACUACUCCUUCCUUCCUGCUGCAGAAGUGCUCAGGCAAGGGCUGCUGAGCUCAUCAGAGCAGGGGACAUGUGGCUCAGACACCCUCAUCCACCCCCCAGAAAGUUCCAGGAUGAGUUAUGGAAACCUGGAAAGUCAGAAACACAGAGCACAAAUCUGGAACAGAUGUGUGUCGGGACUUUGUCGAGACAGAGUCCAUGGAAGAAAGUGAGAUGGCACAGUGGGUGCCAUCAGCGGCCUCGUGCUGCCCAGCUCUAAGUGCAGAGAGGCAGGAACAGACCUGGGUGCAGGAGGGCCAUGCUGCCUCCUGCAGUGAAGCCUGGUGGGGGUGAGGACUGCUCUGGUCACAUUUCCUUCCUUUCAUGGCCCCUGCACUGUUUGUGACAAGAGGGUAGACAUGGAGGGGCCUGGGAGGAUGGUCCCCACCUAGCUCUGAUGGCCGCAGGGCUGGCCAGUACCACCAGCUGCCGAUGCACGGCCCCUCAUCACUUCCAGCUUCCUGUCCCUCUGCGGGCAUGUCCAGGACAAGUGCAGAUUUAGGGACUUAGCCAAGCUACCCUGCAGCCUGGCUCAGCUCCUCCUUCCCUGCGUGACCCUGGGCAGAUGAUCUCAUCCCCUCUGAGCCUUCGUCCACAAAGCUGCAAUGGUGAUUGUCCCCGUCAGGCCUGUGACAGUGGCCAGGCUGUGUCAGGACAGCCCUGGGCCCACUACAGGAGCCCCGAGCCCCAGGGGAAAGUGGCCACUGCCCUGGCUCUUACUGUCCCUAUUCCUUCUUGAUUGUCCCUGUUCCUUCUUGUCACAGCAGCUCCUAUGCUAAAUUUCCUGCCUUCUGUACCACUAAGGGAGGACACUGGGCUGUGUUAUUCCUGGGCACAUCUACAACACUUAGUGAGCCCAGCACAAAGCAGUGCCCAGGUGUUUGUGGAAGGAGUCCAUGUCCUAUCUGCUGGGAUUCCUCUUUGUCCCUUUCUCUGAGUAGAUUAGGGCCCCUCACCUCCCUGAGAAAUUUUCCUUCCUGGGCUGUCCCUGCCUAGUGCAGAGCUCAGCCCUACUGCUUUGUGGAGCUUCUCCCAGGGUACUCCCAGACACUCCCUGGGAAUUGCAUGGCAGGGAGUCACCUCCGUUCUCUGGGCCAAGGGCAUGCCUGGGCUGAGGCUGCUUGCCCAGCUCAUCUGAAUGCAGAGGAAGACUUCUCUUUGCACCGAGGGGAAGGGUGCUAAUCACACCAUUGACUGAGUCUUCAGGGGCACUGGGGCAUAUCAAGAUCCUGGCAUCCAGGAACCAAACACCUGAGGGAGGAGAGGAGGCACGGGUGAGGCUGAGCAGGACAGAGGGCAGAAUGUGAGCUCAGCCUCCAAGAGGAAGGGAGCAGCAGUAGGGAGUAAUGAGACGGGAGGCUCCUGGGAGGAGGGACACAUGGCCCAUGCCUGUGCAAACACACCAUCGGGCAUGGCAGGAUUCUGUGCUCCGUGCAUGUGCCUAGCUCAGAUGUGUAAAACCCUGUGUGCAAGGAACAGAGUGCCACUGGGCUGCCACAGGUACGGCUGUGGGGACUAUUGCAUGUGCACCAGGAAAAUGGACCUGUAUGCUCCUGUCCCAGGUAACUGAAUCCAUUUGCUAUCAGAAUGGAAAACCAUUCAACCUGUUGGGAUCACUGGCAAUUUCUCAUCCUGUGACUCAGUGAUUUUACUCUAUGUGUGUUUUUUUUUUUUUUG